rnacentral:rRNA from 1 species
UACGUAGGGAGCGAGCGUUGUCCGGAAUUACUAGGCGUAAAGGGCAGGCAGGCGGAUCCAUAAGUUUAUCGUUUAAGGCGUCGGCUUAACCGGCGUAGGGCGGUAGAUACUGUGGAUCUGGAAUGCGGUUGGGGAAGACAGAAUUCCUGGUGUAGCGGUGGAAUGCGCAGAGAUCAGGAGGAAUACCGAAGGCGAAGGCAGUCUUCCAAGCCGUUAUUGACGCUCAACUGCGAAGGUGUGGGUAUCAAACAGGAUUAGAUACCCUGGUAGUCCCU